CUUGCACUGAAUGAGAUUUUAACACGAAGUGAGUGGCGGACGGGUGAGUAACACGUGGGUAACCUGCCCAGAAGCAGGGGAUAACACCUGGAAACAGAUGCUAAUACCGUAUAACAGAGAAAACCGCCUGGUUUUCUUUUAAAAGAUGGCUCUGCUAUCACUUCUGGAUGGACCCGCGGCGCAUUAGCUAGUUGGUGAGGUAACGGCUCACCAAGGCGAUGAUGCGUAGCCGACCUGAGAGGGUAAUCGGCCACAUUGGGACUGAGACACGGCCCAGACUCCUACGGGAGGCAGCAGUAGGGAAUCUUCCACAAUGGACGCAAGUCUGAUGGAGCAACGCCGCGUGAGUGAAGAAGGGUUUCGGCUCGUAAAGCUCUGUUGUUAAAGAAGAACGUGGGUGAGAGUAACUGUUCACCCAGUGACGGUAUUUAACCAGAAAGCCACGGCUAACUACGUGCCAGCAGCCGCGGUAAUACGUAGGUGGCAAGCGUUAUCCGGAUUUAUUGGGCGUAAAGCGAGCGCAGGCGGUCUUUUAAGUCUAAUGUGAAAGCCUUCGGCUCAACCGAAGAAGUGCAUUGGAAACUGGGAGACUUGAGUGCAGAAGAGGACAGUGGAACUCCAUGUGUAGCGGUGAAAUGCGUAGAUAUAUGGAAGAACACCAGUGGCGAAGGCGGCUGUCUGGUCUGUAACUGACGCUGAGGCUCGAAAGCAUGGGUAGCGAACAGGAUUAGAUACCCUGGUAGUCCAUGCCGUAAACGAUGAUUACUAAGUGUUGGAGGGUUUCCGCCCUUCAGUGCUGCAGCUAACGCAUUAAGUAAUCCGCCUGGGGAGUACGACCGCAAGGUUGAAACUCAAAAGAAUUGACGGGGGCCCGCACAAGCGGUGGAGCAUGUGGUUUAAUUCGAAGCUACGCGAAGAACCUUACCAGGUCUUGACAUCUUCUGCCAACCUAAGAGAUUAGGCGUUCCCUUCGGGGACAGAAUGACAGGUGGUGCAUGGUUGUCGUCAGCUCGUGUCGUGAGAUGUUGGGUUAAGUCCCGCAACGAGCGCAACCCUUAUUACUAGUUGCCAGCAUUCAGUUGGGCACUCUAGUGAGACUGCCGGUGACAAACCGGAGGAAGGUGGGGACGACGUCAAAUCAUCAUGCCCCUUAUGACCUGGGCUACACACGUGCUACAAUGGAUGGUACAACGAGUUGCAAAACCGCGAGGUUUAGCUAAUCUCUUAAAACCAUUCUCAGUUCGGACUGUAGGCUGCAACUCGCCUACACGAAGUCGGAAUCGCUAGUAAUCGCGGAUCAGCAUGCCGCGGUGAAUACGUUCCCGGGCCUUGUACACACCGCCCGUCACACCAUGAGAGUUUGUA
rnacentral:rRNA from 1 species